AUUGAACGCUGGCGGCAGGCCUAACACAUGCAAGUCGAACGAGUGGCGGACGGGUGAGUAAUGUCUGGGAAACUGCCUGAUGGAGGGGGCUAACUACUGGAAACGGUAGCUAAUACUGCAAACCAUCAGAUGUGCCCAUGUGGGAUUAGCUAGUGGGUGGGGUAACGGCUCACCAAGGCGACGAUCCCUAGCUGGUCUGAGAGGAUGACCAGCCACACUGGAACUGAGACACGGUCCAGACUCCUACGGGAGGCAGCAGUGGGGAAUAUUGGACAAUGGGCGAAAGCCUGAUGCAGCCAUGCCGCGUGUAUGAAGAAGGCCUUCGGGUUGUAAAGUACUUUCAGCGGGGAGGCGGUACCCGCAGAAGAAGCACCGGCUAACUCCGUGCCAGCAGCCGCGGUAAUUC
rnacentral:rRNA from 1 species